UUCAACAACUGAUGAAGAGCUUCAGCAGAUUUGGAACAUAUGAGCCAAGUAAUUUGGCUGGUUAAAAGAUGAACUAUUAACAGUUUCCCCCGACGUUGAACGUUAUUGAAGCUAACGUCUCCUUUGAGAUUUCCUCCCAUGUGUUUUCAGAUGAGAACGAGCCUGCUUUAUUGUCUCCUGUAGCCCCAGGAAAGGGGCUGACUCCCUGAGAAAGCACAUUCAGGUUUCCAAACCUCUUCUCCCUUUCAUCUACAUUGCAAAAACAUAAUUCAAAACAAACAGAAGGUUAUGUUGAAUCAACAAUUUAGGAACACUGCAAAAUAUCAUGAAAACAAGGUAGUGUUUGUUGUUUAAUUUUCUCCCUCGUCUCCCUUUAAGUAACACGCAACUAACAGAUCCAGAGAAAAAUCGGAAAGCGGUACAUCAUUACUAUAAACAUGGGAAAAACAAGGAAUCUCAAUUAUGACUUUAAAAAUGUCAUGUGCAAAACAUGAGUCAGUGUACACAUCAAUAACAACAGUUAAAGCAAAAAUACAGUAAAUUCCCAUUACCCACAGAGGAUACAUUCCCAGACUUACAGAUACACAAGACUUCCAACUCAAGAAAGCCAUGGAGUUAUACUGUAGGAUCUAGGAAAUGCAUGGAGAGGUUGGGAAAAGUGGAUAUAUGAAACCACAGUACUGGUCCA